rnacentral:lncRNA from 1 species
UGAGAAGCCACCAUUGUGUAAGAAAGUAUUGUUACUGUGUGUUAAUGUGUGUAUUUUUUGUUUGCAGGGACCUACACACCAAUGAGCCGUACAAACAGCAGCACGUCCCUGAGAUGUUUCCCAAUUGGUCGGAUGGACAGUCAGAGUGGAAGCCCAGCGCUCUCCCAUAUUGAAGACAUCUCCAGAUCAUCAUCCUCCUGGUCUUUCCACUCAAGCGUUGGAAGUGCUGACAGCUGCAUUUCAAGAGAGAACGCAGAACAUGAGAUAAAAGGAUGGGAGGGGGAGGAGUCAGAGGGAAGUGAUGUCAUGCAUGACGAUCUUCUCCACCUGAGUGCAGAGACAGCAGCAGACGACCCAACAUCUCCACUGAUGGAGGACCCCUCUCUGAAGCCGGGCUGCCCGGCGAGGCGAGAGAGGCCGUGGAUUGGCGCGAGAGGCCGUCACCAUCUGAAAGAGAGGAGGAGGAGGAGACAGAGGAAGGAGCUCGGGGAGAAAGCUGAGGAACGCAAGAGCAAAGCACUGCAGAUUUACUCCAAACUACAGGAAGGAAACGAGGCAGUUCAGCCCAGAGAGCCCAGCAGCUGCUCCAGGUUCGAGGACUUUGAUUUCCUGGCGAAGUAUUGCAUUAUCAGCCCUGAGAAACUCAGAGCUUAUGAAAGUGCUUUUGAAGCGGUGGACAGUGAUGGUGAUGGAUACAUCUCCUGUUUCCAAGUGCUGCUGGCUCUGAAAGAGAUCAUCCCUCCAGAACUGCUGACUGAAGAGGAAGAAAUCUACGUAUACAGGAUUCUGGAGCUGGUUGAUUUCAGGGUGAUGGAGGGUCUAACUGAUCUGAGGCUCUUCGCUGUGGUCGCCAGCCUGGCCCAGAAAAUAGCCACACUGGAUGGCUUCAUGCGUUCCCUUAUCAGCAAGAUGGACUUCCAGUCGCUGGAGAUGAAGCUGUACAAGGCGAAGGUCUGUCAGCCGGUGAUGGUGGAUAAAUCAGUGUGCUCUGUGUGAUUUAAACACAUCAGCAGCAUCUUAGCAUCUCUCUCUCUUUUCUCUUUACGUCCUUCUUCUCUCACUUUCCUCCUUCUCUCACUCUGCUCUGCUCUGCUCAGCUGUGUCUCAAUGGAGCGGGACAAAGCACAGAGGGGACUAAUUAUAGUGAAAUAAAGACUACUAAAUGCUUUGAAGGGCA